AAAAUAAAUGUUUCUCUCCUGGUUUGGCAGCUUAUGCUUUAAGUGCACUCAUCUGAGAAGACAACGGAAAUAGAAAAAAAAUGUAUGAGAAUAAUUGCAUAUCCUUAUGACUUAACAUGAGUUUAUUAUAUUGUUUUUCUUUGUUUAGGCCUUUUUUUCACAUGAAGGCAGCCUGAGGGAACUUAGCAAGUCAUUAGAAGACCUUAAAAUAUUGGGAAGACUAUCAGAAGAAACUGUCCCAGACAUACAGACACUGAUUACAGACUGUGAAAAAAAGCUUGAAAAGAUUCAACAAAUUGUGGCAGAUACUUACACGGCCCUGCUGUCUCAUGCUGGAGAAGGACAGUCAUCUAAGAAAGAAAACUCCAUUGUUGCUUCUGAGAAUGGAGAAAAGCCUGGUCCUUCUCAACAAAUUGAUAUCCUUUCAGUACAGGAGACCUCAAGAUCUGCUGCAGAUAUAGUUUUGGAACCAGAUGUGAAACAUCACAAUGGAGAAAGCUGUGCAAAGAAAUUAGAGGAAGACAAUGAUUUGCCCAUACCAGCUUUAUUAGAGAGGUAAUUUUUAAAGGAUAAAAUGCAUGUAUAUUAAGAGAUGAUACUAUGCUAGACAUUUGUAAAUUAAUUGAAUGUAUCAAACAUAGGGUGCACUUUUGCUAUGCAGAACUCUGUUCCUGUUCUACUAGAGUUUACUCAAUAUUGCUCUACAAUUGAUAAGGAAGCACUAUAGUAGCUAAAUGCUUCAAACAUUAGGAUUUUGUAGCAA
rnacentral:lncRNA from 1 species